AUCUAGCUGACAAGUGCCAAAUAAGGCGAAAUGCGCAUCCUAGAU
rnacentral:hammerhead_ribozyme from 1 species